GAUCCUGGCUCAGGACGAACGCUGGCGGCGCGCCUAACACAUGCAAGUCGAACGAGAGAUGAGGAGCUUGCUCUUCAAAUCGAGUGGCGAACGGGUGAGUAACGCGUGAGGAACCUGCCUCAAAGAGGGGGACAACAGUUGGAAACGACUGCUAAUACCGCAUAAGCCCACGACCCGGCAUCGGGUAGAGGGAAAAGGAGCAAUCCGCUUUGAGAUGGCCUCGCGUCCGAUUAGCUAGUUGG
rnacentral:rRNA from 1 species